GCACCAGUAGCUCAACUGGAUAGAGCAACUGACUUCUAAUCAGUAGGUUCGGGGUUCGAGUCCCUGCUGGUGCGCCA
rnacentral:tRNA from 2 species